AGGACACUUUAACUUGGAUCCAAAACAGAAUGUCUCCCUUCUUUUAAAGGUGAAAAGUUGUGCUGAGUUUGUGUCUCUCUCAAAGACCAGGAUUGAGCAAUACGAGAAAGAGCUGGAGAAGAUGAGGAACAUAAUUCCAUUUGACCAGAUGACCAUUGAGGAUUUGAAUGAAGUCUUCCCGGAAACCAAAUUAGACAAAAAGAAGUAUCCCUACUGGCCUCACAAGCCAAUUGAGAGUUUAUAAACUUGAGUCUGAGAGGAAGCUCUGCUCCUUGUAUUUUAAACUCUGGACAUUAAAAAUAAUCAGAUGGU